CUUUCCUCUGGUUCUUUUAGCAAUGCUGACAAAAAGGCUGAAGCCUCCCGUGCUGCAACGAUGACGCUGCAGCGCUGCCUUGUGAUGCUGGGCUGGCGUCGAGCAGCUGUCCUCCCGUCUGCUGACCGUGUCAUACUGCCGUCCUGUUUUAAACUUCAGCAUCCCGGUUUCACCUGACGUAAUUUCAGCCAAGGGGAACGGCUGAGCCUGGCUGGGUGCUGUGCCUGUUGGCCCUGACCCACAUCGAACAGAGCUGCUGAGCCAAUGUCUUGAAAAGCAGCCUUGAACCGGGGGACGAAGAAGGCAUCACCAGGGAGGUCCCCAGGCACCUGGGCUGAAAGUAUGUUCUGCUCAACUUUAGCAAAAGGCAUUGGACUUUGGAUAUUAUGAACAUAAAUGUGACAAUGACUGGUGAUGAAAAACAUGGGAUCCACACAGGAACAAAGAUGAUGGAGUCAGUCCAGAGAUGCUGACUUCUUCCAUCACAGAUUUGUGACUUGUUAACGUUGUAAUAGUUGAUGUUUCCAGAAGAGAAACAGAAAUUUGGGCACUGAAGGACAGAAACUAAGCUAACUUUAAAAUCAACGAAGGAGCUAUUUGUGUUCAGUGAUUUAAGUCCAUUUUCUAAUUAUAAACACCAGGGUAAACAAGUAAGCAAAUGAGUGAGGCCAUUCAAUGCCACGCUGCAGAAGAUGGGCGCUUUCUCCUUUUUCUCACAUUAACUCUGUAUUUCCAUUUCUAUCUCAUUAAUGUUAAGUUUGGCACUACAUUAUAUGCUCUAAUUACCCGUGGAUUUUGGCCUACAGUUCAUUUUUGCACCAUAAUUAAUGCAACAUUCAUAAGAGGCCCAAAUCUGAUAAUUAGGAGAGUACUUGGAAGUGCUCAGUUACAUUAGAAAUACACAGCAUCACAUUAAGAGUGGUUUAUAACCACCCGCAGAUGGGAUAACUCAUAAUGGGCUUCUGUUUUUUAAGUAAGGUGUUUCAAUUACUGAAGUACAAGCAGGAUCAAUUAAGAAUAUUCAAAUGGAAGAUAAUGAAUGGUUUUUUUUUUAUAAAUGGAGAUCUUGCAACUGGCAUAAUUAGAUCUUUCAUCUGCUAGGAAAAAACAAGCCAUUCGUCAAAGCUGUGGAAUGAAAUAAUGGCAAAAACACUUGGAGCCGUUUCCUUGUGCAAUGGAGAUGCCACAAUUCCCAAACGUGUUGCAGACCAGCAGCCAUGAGCUGCAAGGCUGACUUCUCUUUGUCAGGCUUCUAACGUGUGCCACGGUGUUAGAAUUGCAGCUGUCUGGGACACAGGUGGCUUUUCUGCAGUGAAAUAUCCAGUGAAAAAUGGCAAUUGCAGUUUGUUGAAAUCUUCAGGCAAAAAAUUCUUCAUCGUUUCAUGUGUCUACUUUGUGUGUGCAAUAGCGGAACUUUUUUGUGUCAAAACAAGACUUUCUCUAAAGAAUUAUGUGUUUUAUAACAAAAGUCUAGUGUUCGCACUUUGUUAAUGUCAGUCACUACUUUAAGUUCCUUUCUGAAUAGCAAACUAUCACAAACUCCCUCACAGCAUCUGGGGCUCACGUAUGUUCCCUCCUACUCCACAGCCUGCCGGUCGGUUUUCUGGUCACCAGGGUACGUAUCAUCCUGUCCUGCCUUUGGGAGGGCCAGUUCACACACGUGCCCAUGCAAUGUCGAUCGUUUUGUAUCCUGGUACCUUCUGGAUGUCCUGAAAGUGGUGUUAGAAAGCUGGCCGUAUCUUAAGGCACCUGAUGGUAAGAUCUGAAAAUUAUAUUUUCUGGUAACGGAACAAUGACACAAAAAUUAAAUAACAAAAAAACAGUAUUAAGAUCAAAAGCAAUAAGAAAGAUCCUUGUUGGUGCUUUUAACAUUUCAACUGGUAUCUACUUUACUUUAGGUUGAGUUGUAGUAAGCCUCACUAAAUGAAGUAAAGUUUCUUUGGCUAGAGUAGCUGCUGCCUUUUCUCAGCUCUCCAUCCUGCUCCCGGGGAAGGACAGGUCAGAUAGCAAACAUCAUGUUU